UUAUUCUGUUGAAUCCCUUGAAGCAGAUUUGACAAGAAAGGGCUGUACCUUCAGUCUCACCUGCUCAUGGCAAAGGCCCUCAUCAGUGCAGACUGCCCUGUGACCCGGGAUGCCGUUUCAGAGCCCACAGCAUCCUGGCACAUUUCAGGGACAUCUGGAACAUUCUACUGCUGGACUGGACCCACAAAGCGCUCCCUCCCCAUGUGACUUAGAGAGGCAACUUGAUUGACCUCCCAUGCAUCAGUCCCCAGCUGCCAAGGUGAGAGUGUGUUUCAGGGAAGGCAAUCUCUUCCUGGCCUCGAGGCAAGGGCCCUGAUUGUUUUCAGAGCCUCCCAACCGUAGGUGUUCCCAAAGAAUUUCAGCUCCAUGCAUAUCGAACAAGGCUCUGAAAACACACUUCUGUGAGGACUUUGAUGUGGAUUUUCCCCAGGGGUGUAGACCAGGCAUGUGACACAGGCUAGGGCCCAGAAAAUGACGCCCCGUGUAGAAUGGAUUUUUUUAUGGAUUAAUUUGUCAGUUGGUAUCAGCCAUUAUUUAUACACAUAUAGAGUGCUCUAUCACAGAGAACUGAUGACAGGUCUCUGACUUGGUGGGGCCAAGGCAAAAUCACAAGGAAUAAAGAUUUAAUUAACCCUGUAUAAUGCCUGGACAAUUGUAAUCAGUCUAAGUCUCAAAGU